rnacentral:rRNA from 1 species
AUACGGAGGACGCGAGCGUUAUCCGGAUUUAUUGGGUUUAAAGGGUGCGUAGGCGGUCGGGUAAGCGUAGGGUGAAAGUCCUCUGCUCAACAGAGGAAGUGCCUUCCGAACUGUCCGACUGGAAUGCUCCUGCCGUGGGAGGAAUGUGUGGUGUAGCGGUGAAAUGCAUAGAGAUCACACAGAACACCGAUUGCGAAGGCAUCUCACGAAGGGGCUAUUGACGCUGAGGCACGAAAGCGUGGGGAUCAAACAGGAUUAGAUACCCUGGUAGUCCACGCAGUAAACGAUGAUGACUAACCGUCGGUCAAGACUGAUCGGUGGCCAAGCGAAAGCGAUAAGUCAUCCACCUGGGGAGUACGACCGCAAGGUUGAAACUCAAAUGAAUUGACGGGG